rnacentral:rRNA from 1 species
CAGCAGCCGCGGUAAUACGAAGGGGGCUAGCGUUGUUCGGAAUUACUGGGCGUAAAGGGCGCGUAGGCGGCCAUUCAAGUUAGAUGUGAAAGCCCUGGGCUCAACCUAGGAAUUGCAUUUGAUACUGUUUGGCUUGAGUUCGGGAGAGGUGAGUGGAAUUCCCAGUGUAGAGGUGAAAUUCGUAGAUAUUCGGAAGAACACCAGUGGCGAAGGCGGCUCACUGGACGACUGUUGACGCUGAGGUACGAAAGCGUGGGGAGCAAACAGGAUUAGAUACCCAGUAGUCCCUGUCUCUUAUACA